rnacentral:rRNA from 1 species
AGACGACGACGGGUAGCCGGCCUGAGAGGGCGACCGGCCACACUGGGACUGAGACACGGCCCAGACUCCUACGGGAGGCAGCAGUGGGGAAUAUUGCACAAUGGGGGAAACCCUGAUGCAGCGACGCAGCGUGCGGGAUGACGGCCUUCGGGUUGUAAACCGCUUUCAGCAGGGAAGAAGCGCAAGUGACGGUACCUGCAGAAGAAGUACCGGCUAACUACGUGCCAGCAGCCGCGGUAAUACGUAGGGUACGAGCGUUGUCCGGAAUUAUUGGGCGUAAAGAGCUCGUAGGUGGUUGGUCACGUCUGCUGUGGAAACGCAACGCUUAACGUUGCGCGUGCAGUGGGUACGGGCUGACUAGAGUGCAGUAGGGGAGUCUGGAAUUCCUGGUGUAGCGGUGAAAUGCGCAGAUAUCAGGAGGAACACCGGUGGCGAAGGCGGGACUCUGGGCUGUAACUGACACUGAGGAGCGAAAGCAUGGGGAGCGAACAGGAUUARAUACCCUGGUAGUCCAUGCCGUAAACGUUGGGSACUAGGUGUGGGGGGCAUUCCACGUUCUCCGCGCCGUARCUAACGCAUUAAGUGCCCCGCAGGGGGGA